rnacentral:rRNA from 1 species
AUUGAACGCUGGCGGCAUGCCUUACACAUGCAAGUCGAACGGUAACGCGGGGCAACCUGGCGACGAGUGGCGAACGGGUGAGUAAUGCAUCGGAACGUGCCUGGUAGUGGGGGAUAACUGCUCGAAAGAGCAGCUAAUACCGCAUACGACCUGAGGGGGAAAGGGGGGGAUCGCAAGACCUCUCGCUAUCAGAGCGGCCGAUGUCGGAUUAGCUAGUUGGUGGGGUAAAGGCCCACCAAGGCAACGAUCCGUAGCUGGUCUGAGAGGACGACCAGCCACACUGGGACUGAGACACGGACCAGACUCCUACGGGAGGCAGCAGUGGGGAAUUUUGGACAAUGGACGCAAGUCUGAUCCAGCCAUGCCGCGUGCGGGAAGAAGGCCUUCGGGUUGUAAACCGCUUUUGUCAGGGAAGAAAUCUUCUGGGUUAAUACCUCGGGAGGAUGACGGUACCUGAAGAAUAAGCACCGGCUAACUACGUGCCAGCAGCCGCAGUAA